rnacentral:rRNA from 1 species
AUACGGAGGGUGCAAGCGUUAUUCGGAAUCACUGGGCGUAAAGGACGCGUAGGCGGGUUGGCAAGUCAGAUGUGAAAUCCUACAGCGUAACUGUAGAACUGCAUUUGAAACUGCUAACCUAGAGUAUGGGAGGGGGAGAUGGAAUUAGUGGUGUAGGGGUAAAAUGCGUAGAUAUCACUAGGAAUACCGAAAGCGAAGGCGAUCUCCUGGAACAUAACUGACGCUAAGGCGUGAAAGCGUGGGGAGCAAACAGGAUUAGAAACCCUAGUAGUCC